CGCCCAACAGCUAGCCCACCCAUCAACCCCAAAUUUACCCUAUCUACACCCCCAAACACACCACCAUCCAACAAACAAACCAUUUUUCCACCUGAGUACGGGCGACGAAAAAGGAUUUAGGAGCAACAGAGAAAGUACCGCAAGGGAAAGCUGAAAGAGUAAUGAAACAACCCAGUAAAGCAUUAAAGAGCAGAGAACACCCCUCGUACCUUUUGCAUCAUGAUUUAGCCAGUAAACCUUAAGCAAAAAGCAUUAUAGUUUAACACCCCGAAACUAAGCGAGCUACUCCAAGACAGUCUAAUUUAUAGGACCACCCCGUCUCUGUGGCAAAAGAGUGGGACGAACUUUGAGUAGAGUGAUAGACCUACCGAGCCUAGUUAUAGCUGGUUGCCUGAAAACUGAAUAGAAGUUCAGCCCUUUAAAUUCUCCCUCCCUGCUGGUCCAAGACCUCACACCGAACAAAAGAAAUUAAAGGAGUUAGUCAAAGGGGGUACAGCCCCUUUGAAACAAGACACAACUUUCCAAGGAGGAUAAAGAUCAUAACAAACUCAAAGGUCAACUGUCUUAGUGGGCCUAAAAGCAGCCAUCUACUCAGAAAGCGUUAAAGCUCAAACAUACACAAUCAACCUUCCAAUACAGACAACACAAUCUUACCCCCCUAGGCCUAUCAGGCCGUUCCAUAAAAAUAUGGAAGCGUUUAUGCUAAAAUGAGUAAUAAGAGAACCCCCUUCUCUCCCCGCACAAGUGUAAGUCGGGACGAACCAUUCACCGACCAUUAACGGCCCCAAAACAAAGAGGGCACUAGACAAAAAAUAAAUAACUAGAAAACCACCUAGCCCCCCACCGUUGACCCCACACUGGUGUGCCAACCGGGAAAGACUAAAAGAAAAAGAAGGAACUCGGCAAACACAAGCCUCGCCUGUUUACCAAAAACAUCGCCUCUUGAGAUCCAAAACAUAAGAGGUCCCGCCUGCCCUGUGACUAUA
rnacentral:rRNA from 1 species